rnacentral:tRNA from 1 species
GUUGGGGUAGCAAAGGGGUUACUGCUUUAGAUUUAGGAUCUAGUAUCGGAGGUUCGAAUCCUCCCUCUAACU